CUGGGAGCCAUACAAAACUUUGAAGAAGACGACAAUAACAGUCGGGAGUCGCUGUCUCUGACUGAUAUCUAUGAUGAAGCUGCUGAAAGUCUGCAUCAGUUAGCUGAUAAACUGCCUGCCCCAGGCAGAGCAGUGGUUGAUGUAAUACUGCAGGCUGUUGAACGAGAUG